rnacentral:lncRNA from 1 species
ACUCCCUCCCACACACCCAGGAGCUCCAGCCUGUUAUGGGAUGGGCAUCCUACCAGGAACCAAGGAUGCUAAGCUGAAGACAACCAUCAAGGCAUUUUUUCCCAAAAAGCACAGAAGGAGAUUCAAUCAUCAAAUGAGAGGCCUCACUCACCUCUGCAUAUUGGCCCUUAUCCUUUGAAAGAGAAUAAAGUAACAGCUGCUAUUCUUUCAGCCAAGAAAGGGCCACUGGAACAGGUCCAGAAGGAAAGAAAAGAGUGAUGGCAACUGCUGAUUCAAGAAGAUUGUUCUGUUUCAGUUUUUAUUUUAUUUUAGAUGUACCCCUUCUCCACAAUGAGUUUCUCAUACACGCAUCUAAUGAAAGACGCCUGUUCUCAACCCUCCUAGAAUUUCAAGAUGGGCAAACUUACAAGGAAAGCAAGGAUGAGUGCUAAUAUGUACCAUAUUCAUGUGAAUAUAAGUUUUUUUAAUAAGAAAAUCAAACUCUAAAAAUACAAUAUACUUCAUAAUUACAGAUUGAAAAAUGGGGCCGUGUGUCCUAGGCAGCUGCCCACUGCUGAGUCCAGGGUACACUGCCAUCCUAGGAAGAGAGUGAGGAGGAGGGUGAAAAAACUCACCCAGGAAAGGCAGUGAGGGGUGGGGAGGGAGCACAAAGAAAGUCACUUCAAAUCUCUCUCUAGAACUAUAUUGUUUUUCUGUGCAAAAAUAUUUUCUUCUGGCCCCUUUAUAGACUAGCUUGUAAAAACACUGCAAAGUGCUAUGAUUCUAAGGGUUCUGGAACCGAAGACAAAUCAUUAAAAGUUAGAUUCCAAAUUGUUGGUAAAGAAUGAUUAUGUCACAAUUUUGCAUCACAGUUAGUAAGCCAGUGAUAGCCUCGGAAUGUAAUCUAAGAGACAGUGGCACAGUGGUUAAGAGUUCAGACUCUGACGUUAGAAUACCUGGAUUCUACUUUUGGCUCUGGUACCAUGUGGCUUCUCCAAGCCUCAGUUUCCUCCUCUGUGGAAUGUGAAAAAUAGAAGCUCCCUCAUAGGGUUUUCACUGGCAUUAAAGGGGCUUCCAUAUAGAAAGCACUUAAAGUAGUGUUCAGCACGUGGUAAGCAUUCAACAAAUGUUAGGUGUUAUUAUUACUUAUUAAACAGGUACAUAAUAAACAAGCUGUUCACAAAGCAUUAUUUCACCUCUAAGCCUUACUUCUGAUGUAGAAAAUACACUAACAAUAUCUACAUUGCAAGAUUAGAGAAAACAUAUUUACAGGGUACAAAGUAGGUCCUUGAUAAAGGACAGUUUUGUUCAUUCUGUGUCUCCUGCUACCAGAAUUUUAGUGCCAAGAGAGCGGGACCAUCUGUUUUAUUCAUUGCAGUGGCCUCAGUGCCUAGCAUAGUGUCUGCACAUAGAGGGGCUCAAUAAUCAUUUUUUUGAAUAACCAGCCAUUCUUAUUAGUGUUUUUGUUGCUAUGCUGGAUAGAGGCCACAUGCUUUUUUUUUUUUUCUAACACUUAGAUUGGGUUACUAUAUGAAUUACAAAUUCUAAAGUUGCUUUUGUUUAAAACACUCUUUAAUUCUGACUCACUAAUUUUGGUUGAUCUUCCCCCAAUUAAUCCAAAAUAAUGAGGUUCAUUCUGUCUGGAACAACAAGAGACAAACCUUGUGGGGAAAGAGUGUCAAUGCAAACCCAGCGGCACCCGGAGUUUCAUUUCCAGAGCUGGGAAUGAGUUCCCGGCAAGGUGGCCCUAAGCUGCUCAGGAAGGCCAGGAGGCUGGAAAACUUCCACUUAUUACUCACCACCAUGGAAUGGGCACCCUAUUGCUUUCCCUUCCUUUGCCUUCUCUCUGGCACACCUGUAUUAUUUUCCCUGUUUUGCUAACAUAUUUCCCUCUUGCAGAUGAGCCUAUAGAAGUAACUGCUAUAGCUCUAUCUGUCCAUAUGUUAACAGGUGAAUGAAUGAGUAAAUUAAAAUAGAAAUGCAGAGAAGGGAAUGAAAGAGAGGCCUGUGGUCUAAAUGUGUGCCUUCAUGAAGUCAAUUUAGUAGGUCAUAACUAGUAUUUUCAUCAAUUAAUCAAAGUGAAUAGAAAAUAUCACAGUGUGUCACAUGUGGUAAAGGUAAGUAUUGUUUUGUGAGAAUUUUUUUUCAGCUCUCUGUGUGUAUGUGUGUGAGUGCCAGGUUGCAAUACAAAAUAUAUUUAUUAUUGUAGUUUCUGGUAAAAAAAAAAAUGUUUGUAAACACUGGCAUAAACCCCCAUUUGGUUAAUAGUAGAGGCUUUAAAAAGGAGCCAAUGGGCCGGGCAUGGUGGCUCAAACCUGUAAUUCCAGCACUUUGGGAGGCCGAGGAGGGUGGAUCACUGGAGGUCAGGAGUUCGAGACCAGCCUGGCCAACAUAGUGAAACCCUGUCUCUACUAAAAAUACAAAAUUAGCUAGGUGUGGUGGUGCACGCCUGUAAUCCCAGCUAGUUGGGAGGCUGAGGCAGGAGAAUCCCUCGAACCUGGGAGGCAGAGGUUGCAGUGAGCUGAGAUCAUGCCAUUGCACUCCAGCCUGGGCAAAAAAGAGCGAAACUCUGUCUAAAAACAACAACAACAGCAACAAAAAGGAACCAUGAACUAUUUAUUGUCUUCCCUUCCUACCAUCUUUGUUUCCUAUGAUCUUGGGCUGUCCACCAUACCCAAGAACUUGCUUCAUCUCACUAGUGGAGACCACAGAAUGAGGAUAGUGACCUUGGGUAUUGGGUCAUUUCACUUGAACAGAAAUUUUAUGGACAUUGUAACAAGGGAAUACAUUUUAGAAAGGUUCACUUCACGGAAUUUUGAGCAAAGAAGGCAAUUUACUUUUAUCAGUGAUUCUUGGUGAAGAGAAUGAAACCAUCUCCAUGAAGAGCGGAGAACGAUUUUGCAGAAUUCACAGUCACAAGCAUUUUCACACGGGUUUUCACCCUGGUCAAAGGUUCCUUCUCAUUAUGGCUGUUUAUAAUAUCACAAAUGACAUUUUAUUAGCCUAUAACACAGCUUAGCCUUAUAAGAUUACAUUACAUGAAAACACCAAGUGUUCCUUACAGAUUUGCCACGUGUGAUGGCACAUACUUUAUCAGGGAAACUGAUUUUUAAAUUUGACCCUUAAAACUUGUCAACACGUCUUUUUCUUCAAGCUCUAGUGUUCCUUAAGAAAACUAAGUGCAGGGCCGGGCGCGGUGGCUCACGCCUAUAAUCCCAGUACUUUGGGAGGCUGAGGCAGGUGGAUCACCUGAGGUCAGGAGUUCGGGACCAGCCUGGCCAACAUGGGGACCCCGUCUCUACUAAAAAUACAAAAAAUACAAAAAAAAAAAAAAAAAAAAAAAAAUGCCGGGCGUGGUGGAGCAUGCCUGUAAUCCCAGCUACCCGAGAGGCUGAGGCAGGAGAAUUGCUCGAACCUGGGAAGCGGAGGUUGCAGGGAGCAGAGAUCACGCUACUGCACUCCAGCCUGGGGGACAGAGCGAGACUCCGUCUCUAAAAACAAAAACAAACAAACAAGAAAAGAAAAUGAAGUGUAGAAAAGCAAAAGAGAAACAUUCUCUUUUGAAAGAUUGUUAAGUAGAAAAAAAUCAGUGGCGAAGACAGUAUUAUUAGUGGCAGAAAAAGUCAACUAAAUCACUGUAUCCUCGGUCUGAUAGGACUAAGCAGACAAUCCCUUUUCUCUGGCUACAGUCGUCCUUUGAGGAUGAACUUUAAUUCGGAAGCAAUGAGAGGAAACUGAGGCACAACUUCCACCACUGCUACUUCUAACAUCAAAGAACUUCUAGCGCCCUUUGGCUUAACCUUUGGGGUGGAGACUGCCUCUCCCGGGUAAGCAGCCCAUGGCGGCCUCUGAGUGGUCAAGCUUUAUUUCUGUCUACGCUGGUCUUGACCAUUCAAUUGACUCUCAUGACAGCUUAACACAGUCCCGCGAUCUUCCCAGUAUGUGGUUUGCCAGAGGGCCCACCGCAGGGACUUCCUCUCACUCUCAGCGAGGUCGCCGGAAACUCUCAGAAGGGGCAGCUCCGAAAUUCACUUCUCAGAGGCCCACAGCUGCCGGCGCGAGCCCCGCUGCGAGGUGAUUUGGAUACCCAUUUACCCUUCACAUGAGCCCAUCCUUCGCUCACUGUAUUGGAAUGUGCCGCACAAUAUGCUUUUUUGAAGAGGAACCAGAGAGUAAUUCAUCUUCUUUAUGUGUGCUAAGCAGAGCAAGAGGGAGAGGCGAGCGGGACCCACCAUGGGCCGGGGAGUCGUGAUUAGUAACAGCUGACAGCCUCAGACCAAGACCCUUUCUCUGGCUACCUCAUUGUAACAGCCGAGCACAAAGGAAUGACUGUCCUCUUGCCAAGAUUUAGAAACCCAGGACCGCAGAAAAUAGCAGCAAAAAGCAAAGUGUGUGUUGGGCAGUGGGGGCAACAGGCUGACGAAAGCCACCCUUGGAUCUACCUGUAAAGCCUGGGUUUGGAAAGAAACCUCUAUCACGUGGAAAGCCCUGUCUCCCCAUGAUGCCCAUUCACCAGCAGCACCAGGACCACUGAUGGUGGCGGGAAAAGUAGGUGAAUUUACGCACAGAAAGAGCCUGGGGAGAGCAGCAAAUUGCUUUGGUUUAAUGAGAGGAAGUUCUUUGAGGGCCAGAGCCCCAGCCUGUCUCCCUUUCUUUCCAAAAGAAUCAUGAUUUACAACUGACCACUGGAUGAGUAGUUUGCAAUUUCCACAAAAGCUGUCUUUACUUUGGAUUGUGUUUCUUGUUAGCGAAAAGACCUUCCCGCAUGACUGUCUUGGGAAGAUGAUCGAGAUAGCACGCUUCCUAGCUGGCAGAAUGCUAAAUGGGACCGAAUUCCACCACCAGGCUUGACUUGUCCAAAAUUAACCAAAAGGCUUCUCAAAUUGACUGCAGAGCAUGUCAGACUCAAGGGGUGACCUUUCUUCCCAAGGAAGGCCUGUCCCUCACAGAAGAAAAGGAAUUGAAAUGAAAGCCUCAUAGAAGUUGAAAGCAAUAUAUGAAUGUUAAAGACCAGUUCAUUCUGGCCCUGCUUUGCCAAAGAACAGCUGAAGCAGGAGUGUGACUCCAGGCCCAGUCAUGAGGCUGGGAAGCAGCAGAUUCUUAUGGCCAAAGGAGCCACAUGCACCUGUGCCCACCCACACUCUGCAAAGAUUCUGGAACCAGAUUCCAACGUUAGCACUCUGAAAUGGACUGAAGUUGUUUGUUGCUUGAAACUGAAAUUAAGAUUUUUCAAACAGAUGUAUUUCUUUAAAGAAAAAAAAGCAACUAGUGAAUAAAACAUGUUCACCUUGUUUCUUUUCUUUUCUUUUUCUUUGAGACGGAGUCUCGCUCUGUUGCCCAGGCUGGAGUGCAGUGGCAUGAUCUCAGCUUACUGCAACCUCUGCCUCCCAGGUUCAAGUGAUUCUCCUGCCUCAGCCUCCCAAGUAGCUGGGAUUACAGGUGCCCACCACCACGCUUGGCUAAUUUUUGUAUUUUUAGUAGAGACGGGGUUUCGCCACGUUGGCCUGUCUGGUCUCGCACUCCUGACCUCAGGUGAUCCGCCCGCCUGGACCUCCCAAAGUGCUGAGAUUACAGGCAUGAGCCACCACUUUGUCUAUUUUUUAAAUUAAAUCCAGAGAUGUGAAUCUUAUCUACUAUAUAAGAAAAUACAUUUAAAAAAUUCAGGUCCACACUUUGGCCAGUAAAAAGAGUGUGCAAAAUGAAAUCUUUGGUGAUAGAGCUGGGGCUGAGGAGAGGAGAAAGGGAAGAUUGUGGAGAUAGAGCUGAGAGAAUGACAAGAGGAGAAAGAGAAAAGAGAAAACGUAGAGAAAAGGAAGGGAGAUGAGAAAGCAAAGGAAGAUGGGAUGGAGAAAAAUUCAGAAGGGGCUUUUAUCUUAGUCAGCAUAUUUCUUGAGCUGUGGCCAACGGCACCCCCUUUCAGUUCUGAUUAGUUUUCUCAGCAUUUAAAAGCUCAUUGGUUGUUUUAUCUAAAAGAAUAGUUCCUAUAAAAGAAUAGUCUCACCUAGGGAGUGGGAGAUUGUUCUCUCAGCUACCAGAGCCAAACAAUAAAGCAGUGUUACUGCAUAGAGUGAAAACACUGUCGGAGUAAACUCUAGAAUUGGUCGGCUUCCCUGUUUCUGGUUACCAUUGUAACAGAACAUUCUUCCCUUGGAACAGGAAAAGCUACAUUUUUGCCCCCAGGUCCAAGGGCAGCAAUGGAAUUGAAUAAUUGCUGAUAUAUUCCACAAGUAGUGGCAUAACACUUUUGUAGCUUUCUUCCUUCUCUAGGAGGGAGUUGUUUCUGCACAUUCUACUUUAGUUUUGUAAUACUUACGUGCAUAGUUUCUUCUCAGCUUCAUAUUCCAAUGUUUUUUUUCAAGGAGUAUUUAGGAAUCCCAAAAAUUAUACAAGAAAAUUGUGGACAGUCCCUUAUAGCAAACUUCACUUAUCCUGAAUAGAUUUCAGGGGUCUAGGAAGGCGUAUAGAGAAAGGAUGUGGAAGUAACAUUUGGUUGACUUGAGUUGCAUGAGACGGGUUGGUAAAAUAAUUCUUUAAUCUGGAAUUUAGGAAUAGAGUGAGUGAUGAAGAUACAGUCACCAGGGUUUGGAACAAACACAAUUGGUAGAUGGAUAUAUUUGAGUAAAAUAUAGUCACACUAAAUGAUUUAAAAAGACAGCGAGUGAUAGAACUGGGGACAUUGUUGUUAAAGAGAAGUAUGGAAUAGAAGAACUAUACAUAAGGUAAAGAGAAGCCAGGUACAAAACAAUGAUUUUUAAAUGAAGGAUUCAAAGGACUAUGGCUCAUCACAAAUAAUGGAAUGAAUUGGUAAGGUAGUGAAGUUACAUUCAGGAUAACAUGCUUCUUCUAAAAGUGACUAUAAAUUACUCCUACAAUUAAAAUUUUUCACUUAUUCGUGCACUCUUUCAACAUUUAUUAAGGACCUUCUUGAUACUCUGGCAAAGGACAUAAACAUUAAGCCUUUGAUGUAUUUAUUACAGUCAACAGGACUUAAAAAAAUAUUGUGAAACUGGCCUAAACAAAUAAAACACAUCAAAUUAUCUAGCGGGGUGAUUUGGAAUGGAAUUGGAGGAAAACAGAAACGUGUUGGUACGAACUGGAAGGAAAUGGUUGUCAUCAACAUGAACUCCAGGGCUGCUUGGCUUGAAUCCUGGCUCCCCCCACUUAUCAGCUUGUGACUGGUCAAGGUAUGUAAUCCCUCACUCUCUUGGCAAAUGGAUGUUUUUGAGAAUUCAAUAAAUUAACAUACGUGAUGCCUUAAUAAUAUGUGGCAUGAUGACAGUGAUGUUUUUAUUUUUGCUUUUAAAAAAGGAUUUUUAGCUCUGAAGGGCUCCUUGGAACACCAUUGUAAACCAUAAGAACUCAGUCAAAUUAGAGCCUACUGCCAGGCACUGUGCUGAGUGCUUCACCUCCUUUAUCCUCCUAACAACCCUUCAAGGUGGAGGCUAACAAUGGUCACUCUGCAUUUAUGGAUUAGGAAACAGGGAGGUUAAGUCCCUCACUCAGGAUCACACAGCUAAUAAGUGGCAUUGCUGGCAUCUGAAGUCUCUCCAACUCCAGUGCCCACUGUUUGAUCAUUAUGCCUACUGUCUUGGAGAUUUUCUGUAAAAUAAAUUCUUCUUCACACUAGACUGGUAUCAAUCAUUGAUGUGCAUUUGAUCUAUCCAAUGUGGAAUUGUGAUAGUAAUCUGCUUAAAGUCAUGUUUGAAAGGAAGCCAUAUAUCACAGUAAAAAAAAAAAUGGGUAGGUUGUAAAGUGCCACAGUCAUGGUGAGUGGCUACUGUCACAGCCCUGGGACCUGCACUGGAGUUAGUUUGACAUCUCUCAUUGAACUGGAGAGUCAUAACAUAGUGGCUUUAUUCAGAAAAUGACAUACUAAUGGAUGUCUUAAGUCAAAGAAGAAAGAAAAAAACCUCAACCAUGGAUAAUUACACAUUGCAAAGGCCAUGGGUAAUCCCUAGAAUGCCCAGGCCAGUUGGUGAAGCUGCAGCAUUUCUCCCCCAACUCUGUUUAGAGUGUCAGUUACCAAACUUUCUCUGAGUCCCACCACAAUGGUGCUCACAAUCUUCUAAGGUAAGUCUUCACCAUGGGCAGCUUUGAUUAAACAAACAAACAAAAAAAACUGCUUAGAAAUCUAAAAUCUCAUUCCUUUUAACCCUUUCCCUUUGAGAUAAAUUUUUGCUUCUGGAGGAACCCAAAGCAAGUCUGAGAUACGUUUACCAGGGGACUUCGGUCUUCUUUUCUAUAGACUCAAUAUGCAUCAUUUCUCCAACAGAUCCUCAUAUAUCAUUAUUUUUUUUCAGAUGCUCACCAACCUGUAAUGCCUCCCACUGCCUACCAGUCAAUGUCCUCACGCUCUGGCCCAAACCUUCUUUUUUCAGCUUCAUUUCCUACGCAGGCCUACCCUAUUCUGCCAGGCAACCCAGACUUCUCAGCAUUCCCUAGACAUGCCUUGGGUUUUCCUGUCUCUGUCUCUUUGCUCUUAAGGCUUCUUCUGCUCUCGUCCUCAUUUCCUGUGGAAAUCUGACCACUAGCCCAGCCCCUGAAUUCCCACAACCCUUUCUUUGUGCUUCUUGGUUUCGUGGGGCGCUUUGUUUUAUAGUCAUGCGUGUACCUGUCUGACUCUCUAUUUAAAUUUUCAACUCCUUGAGCCUAGAGACUGGCAAAGUCUCUUUGUGUCUUUAUUGCCUGCCCUGGUUAGCACAUUGCCUGCCCAAAACAGGAGUCUAAUAAAUGUGUCUUGGAUUGGAUUCAACACCCUCUUAGUAGCUACUCUGCUUUGUCAAAGCCUCUCCUGAAUGUGCUCAGAACCAAACAAAUUAUUCCCAAUGCAGUGCGGUCAGCGCAGAGUACAGUGACUAUUAAUAUUUCUACUGAGGAAGCACACGGCUACAUUCAUUCUUUUUUAGCCACCACUUCCUACUGUUGGUUCACAUUAAGCCUUUAGUCACAUGAACUGCUGCCAAGCUCAGUUGUUCCCCAUCCUGUAAUUGCGCAAUUGCCUUUUGAAUCUAAAAGCAGAAAUGUACACUUAUUCCUUGCUCAACUUCAUCAUGUUGGUUUCCAUCCAGCAUUGCAGCCUAUUGAAAUCAUUAUGAAUCAUGAUCACAGGCAUAUGCAGUGGAAGCCAUCCUUUUUGGGCUUAUGUCGUAUGAAAACACUAUGUAGAUGACUUCUAUGUUGUUGAGUCGUUGAUUAAAGUAUGGAACAGGGCAGGGUUUUUUUAGAAAAGUACAUAAGGGUGCUUCACCAGGUAUCUUUGCAGGUUGACAUGGAGCCUUAAACACUCAUUAAGUCUAGAUAUUCAGCCAGAUUCAAAGACACUUCGUGAUUUUUAUCAGGUCCUAUUUUAUUACUAAAGGUAUUAGGGAAGAUUCAGAAUUUUUCAGAAUAACCAAAACAAAUUGUUUCAGGAAUUCCACAACCAAAAAGUGAUUAUAGAAAGGGAGCACUUUUUAAACAAAAAAAUUCCCUAUAGCACAUGAAGCUAUUACAAGAUGUUUUGUGGGAAUACUGUUAGCCUGACUUUGUAACUUCAGGAAUUACUGUUUUCCUAAAAGAAUCAGUAGUAUCAAUCUAGAGAAGUAUAAGCUAAUAAAUAUCCUUCCCCUCUAGAUAGGAAUGUCAUAUCAUUUGGGCAGAGAUGUAAAUGCAUCAAGGAUCAAUACAAACAGAAGUUAUUCAUAUGCAAAAGAAAUAACAGCAUAAUUAUUUUAGGCUUCAGAAAAGUUAAUUGGAUAAUUCAUUAGCAAAAAUUUCUGGUUGUGCUACAAUGAUUAUUAAAAAGUCCAUUCUUUUAAAGUAUAUGCCUUAAGUUCAACUUCACUUUUAUUCAUUCUGGAAUAACAUAUCAGUGAUUUUCCAGGUCACAGCCCUUGAAGUAUAGUAAUACACGAUGGUUUACAUUGAUUACUAUAUGCCCAGUGACUAACACUGCAGGAACUCAGUAUAGCUUUGUUGAAUGAAUGAUGAAUGACAAAUUCUGCAAAUUCAGCAGGUGAGAAUAAUUAAGCAACUAUACUCAAUCUACAAAUCAAUGACAUAAUUUUGUAACAUACUAUAGCAAGAGUUCAUCACUGCAACCAGGGCUGCAAUGCAAAUGUACAAAUAGUAGCUCCUCUUCUCAAGGAGUUCUUUUGUUGCUAGACAAGUCAGAUUCUCACUGACCAAUUAGACAGUCAUAGUCUCACCAAAUAAUAGAAUGUUCAACCACACAUGAUGUAAAGGGCUAAGUACACGAGUACAGAAAAAUUAUGAAAAAUAUUUAGCUCAUGUGGAGAAAAGACUUAAGGGAACAAAUGCACUUUAAAAUUAUAAACUGAUCCAGUACUAAUCUAGAGGCCACAUACCACAUCAGGGGUUACAUGGCUCUAGAGAGAGGGGGCUUUAGUGACACGUAGAUUUGAGUUUGAAUUCAAGCUCAGCCCCUUGCUAGCAGGGAGACCCUGAGACAUUAUGCAACCUCUCUGAGACCUAGUUUCUUGAUCUAUAAAAUGGGAAUAAUAACAAUGACCUUUCAGAAGGAAUAACAAGUACAUAUGUUUAAUAACCAGCAUAUUUUUUUUACCCAGUAGUUGCUAGCAAUUAUUAUGGCAGGUAAAAUUAAAAAGUCACUGACCAAUUAUAGAAUUAACCUUUAAUCAAGAUUAGGAUUUUAGUACUUUAAGGUAGAAUAAGUAUAAUCUUUACUGCAACACCAAUGUUCUCAGUCAUUUACAGCUUCUGAUGUAAAUCACAUCUUAUUUAUCUGAUUACUGAGGAGCAAUCAUGCGUCCAGCUCUGUUCCAGGCUAAGUAAACCCUGUGAUGUGUUUCCUCUAACUUGCACUCAUCUUAAUGCAAUGGAAACUUGAUUGUAGUGAACAUAAUUCCACAGGGAAUCUCAAACACCCUUGGAAACCAUUCUGUCAUCAAAAAGUCAAAAUUAAAUGCCUAAAACUGGCCGGGGCCCUCCAGGUCUGGUGAGUGAGGUCAAGGAACCCAAAAGGCUUGAUGAUGUAUAAAAUGACACCACUAGUUAGUGGUGAGGCUAGGACAGAAUGAAAGUUUCAUGGCCUUUUGAUAAGGCAAAGUGGCUUAAAGCUUUGCUUUAGUGCAUGAGUUGGAAACUGGUUAAGUUUAUGACAAGUGGAGUUUUCCCAAUCUUUACAAGGUCACAAGCUUUCUUGGCAAGGUAGAUUUUUUAAUUCUAACAUAGAAAAUACAGUGACUUUUAAUUGUUUACUCAGGGUCACCCAUAAGCAGUUUUCAGAAACAUCUAUGAACUGCAGUAAGCAGCACUCAGGAGGCAGCCAGUCAGCAGAAACGGGGUGAAGUAACAUGCAACACGAUCUCUGAAACUGCCUAACAAUUAGUGACAAAGCCAGGGCACAGCCAGUGAGAAUGCCAUCAUUUGACCAAGCCGAGGCUGAGGAAAUGAUCCUCUCUAGGCAGACACUAGAUGCAAGUGCAAAGAGAGACCUUACACCUGAUACUCUCCGGCAAAGAAGCCAAAAGGGCUUUUGAAGUUGGUGUUUAUAAUAUUAAAGCAGAAUCUCAGAGUGUAGUAGUCACUGACAUUAGCCAAUGCCUAUAGAUUCACAUAGACCACACUCACAGCCAUGAUUCCCCGUGAGCUCACCUCCAGGUCCCCCAGGAGGCACAUACAACAAACAUGUUUAUUACUGUCACUACUAUUAUUUCCACUCCAUAAACAAGCCCUGAAUGCCAAAGUGACUUCUCCCACAGCUAGUCAAUGCUGCAACUGGUAGCUCCAGAAGUUUGUGUUCUUAAGAACCAAACAGGAAUUACUACAAAUAAAUGCAGCCAGAGCGAAUGUCCCCUGCACCACUCAGCUGGCCCCUGUUUACCUUUUCAGAUGCAAACAUCUCCUCACUCUGCAGAGGAAGGAGAUGUAGGACCUGGAGUCUAUGGUUAACAGUGCUGUGACUUCCUUCUUAGGCACCUAGCACAGCUAACUGGAGGGCCUCAAUACUGAAUGAAUUAACAACCUCAGCUAGACAAUAGCAGCCCUGCAUGACGCAGAGCACACAUGCAAUGGGGACAAGGAAGGGAAGGUAGCAUGAAGACAUAUGGCAGAUGCUCGGUCAAGACUGUUUUCUGUGUAUCCAGUGAGGGGACAGAGCUAUACAAGGCUUGCUAGGGGAAAGGAAAUGGUGCCUCUUGAGAAGUGUAUCGGCAUCCACAGUCUUAUGGAGUCUGUGCCCCUUUAGAAGUGUUAUCAGCAUCCAGUCUUAGGGAGGCUGCAGCAUUUGUAAAAUGCUUCAUGAAUGUGUGUGGAAUAACUUUCGAAUGGGGGGAAAGGUAAAACAUUUCAAGUAGGGAGAUAAACUGUGUUAAGAAGUCAAGUGAUUGGGAUAUCGAUGAGCAGGGACUCAGUCAUUAAGAUACACAAACCACCCUUCAUCUACCACUGAGUGUUCUGCAGCACGAGAACAUUUCCAUUGGCUCAUCCCACUCACAGAGUGUUUUCUGUAUGCCCAAACCAUUUUCACUGUGUUUCCUAACAGCCCCUGGAGGGGUGUAAGAACCCCUCAGAUGUGGAUUUUGAGUCUUCUGACAUUAAAGCUGAUUAGGAAGAAAACAUUAGGCUGGGCGUGGUGGCUCACACCUGUAAUCCCAGCACUUUUGGAGGCUGAGGAGGGUGGAUCACGAGGUCAGGAGUUCGAGACCAGCCUGACCAACAUGGCAAAACCCUGUCUCUACGAAAAAUACAAAAAUUAGCUGGAUGUGGUGGCACAUGCCUGUAAUCCCAACUACUCAGGAGGCUGAGGCAGGAGAAUCACUUGAACUCAGGAGGCGAAGGUUGCAGUGAGCCAAGAUCGCACCACUGCACUCCAGUCUGGGCGACAGAGCGAGGCUCUCUCAAAAACAAAACAAACAAACAAAAGCAUCAAUAUUUUCCUUAUUUUUAGCUAAUUAUCCUCAGCUCAUGUGGGAUGCAUUUAUUGAGCACUUAUUGUAUGCCACUCUCAGGAGCUCUAGAAAGACCUAGUGUUUGCUCUCAAAGCUCACAAGUCCAGGGCAUCACAGCAUUCCAUGAGACAGAACAGUGCAUCAGGUUGAGAAAGAAGAGAUCUGUGUGUGUCAGAAGUGAGGGGCCCAGGAGAGAGGCACUUGGGAAACUCUACUAAACUAUACAUUGGAGUUCUGGCAACACUUGACUGCUGUCAGGAACAACUGUAAAAGCUCAUCUAGAAAGAAGGAGCAAUUUUAGUGCCAAGUCAGAUCUGCCCAUGCGUGUUUACCAGAUUCGACUUUGAGAGCCAAGAAUUUAGUAGUGGUGUUGUCAGAACCAAUAAAUAAGUUAGGGGAACUUGGGAGGGGUAAAUGUGGAGUCAGAGGUUAAGUAUUUAUGUGAACACCGCCACACAUUAAAGGCCUAAAAGCUGUUGAAAUUGUAAUUAUCUGACAUGAAAUAACCUAAAUUUUGAAAACCAGUGUCGCUCACAAUGCUGCCAAACACCUAGCAUCUGUUCAAUUCUGUUAUGAACCAUUUCCUUGGGGAGGGAACGUGAAAGAAUUGUAAGCAGCUGCUGAGAAGUGUGAUGGCAGGGGAUGCAGUUUCCACAUUGCAAAUUUACAUGCUAACUUAUUCAUUAAGUAAUACCAUUAAUGAUCACAGAUGUGCAGCAAGAUGGGCAAAGCAUUCAAUCUCAAGGCAAAUAUGAGGUCAGUGCUUCUAAGAGGUCAUAAAACAAGAAGAAACAUCUUAGAAAAUGCAUAAAAAGCAAACUAGCAAAUCAAUCUGACUUCUCACACUGGGUUUAUGAAGCUAGACCUGCAUUAUCCAGUGGAAGCAUUUGAAUGUUCAGUAUUGUACCCUCACCCAAAGCAUUUCCAAGUUUGCUAUUCACAGCAGUCACGCCAAUUUCUGUAGUUCAAUUUUUAGAGGUAUUAACUUUAUUUUGUUUUGGGGAAAGUGUGGGUAUGUAAUGUCGCUAAGAAUUGUUCUUGGUAAAAUUUUCUUCCGCUGUGCAUUUACAUCUGGGGAUCACUAUGGGAGGAGAAGAAUAAAGCCAUGUGAGACAGCAGUGUUAGUAAUACAUAGAUAUAUUGGGUUACUUUCUUUUUACUAAAUAUUUUAGGCCCAGUUCUUGCUCCAUGGGUAACUCUGGGAAUUCUCUGGAGGCUUCAGAAGACGUGAAUCUAGCUCUUUGUGUCUGUAACUGUACACCUGUUAUUGAUGCAGAGGAUGAAAAGAACACACCAAACACACAUUGUUCUAUUUUUAAGCUGUUGUACUCAGCUGCAGGGGAGGGAGAGAUGCCCUUUCUCCCCUUGAAAGUUACCAACAGCCAGCUAUUCUGCUGUAGCGCAAACUCAAUUUACCAACUUUGAAGGCAGAGGAUGAUGAUCCUAAGCACUGAAGGAGAGUGAAUGUUGUGUGUGUGUGUGUGUGUGUAUGUGUGUGUGCGCUCACGCCACUUGGAGCUGGGAGUGCCAAAAUAAAUCUUUCCUCACAUCUGGAAAUGCCUGUCAGGGAAGCAAACUAGCUGGCAAUCAGAAAACUCUCAUGUAACACUCACUGCUUUCAACAGCAGGCACACACGACUUCAUGUCCUACGGCAGAAUUGCAUGCCAUGGCUUUAGUAGGCAUUCCACCAAAUAUUAGCUGAAGGAUUGAAUCAGUGAAUCUUUCCAGGAAAAGCAUGGCAAAGCUCUCUUUGCCUGUUUAAAAAGAUAAAAAAGCCAACCACAUAAAUUGGCAGUAGGGUGCAAUAUUUCCCUGAGUCAAGAGUCCGGUGUUGGUUUUUCUGGUCUGACACUGCUCAGGGAAGCAGUGUAAUACUUUCAGGACCUUGGAACUUUGACCCUCGGCCCUUCCAUAAUAACCCUUUCUGAAAAAUGUUAUGCAGCAUAUAGUACUUUUUAACAUGAAAGUGGAGACUUUCACAACACUUUAUAAAAUAACUUAAGACUCUCUGGAAUCUCGAAAGAUGAUUUCUGUCUGUCCCCAGGGAUGGAGAGCUGAACAAAAUGGUCCCUGUUUUCAUGACACAGUUGGCUGGAGGAGGUGGAGACUGGCAAUGGGGCUGCCUAACUGUACUGUGUGUGUAGGAGAUGUUUCCUGGAGAAAGUGACAUGCAAGGUAAGACCUGAGGGUAAGGAGGGGUUUCAGGUGAAGAAGCUGGGGAAAAGAGUCCAGGCAGACACUAGGGUGGGAGUGGGGUUGGGCUGGGGGUGGGAGGGUGGGGAGGAGGAGUGAGAAAUAAGACAGAAAGGCACAAGCUGGAGCCAUGUGAGAAGUUUGAUCUUUAUUCCAAAAGCAAUGUGGGGAAUGAGCCCAGAGUUGAGUUUUAGGAAGAACAUGCUACCUUUGUGCAAAAAAAGUAGGUAAGAAAAGAGCAAGACCCUGGAUUGUGGGGUAGGCGGAUGGCAGGGAGACUAGAAAGGAAGUUAGUGUAGAUUAGGAUCAAUAUGGUGUUGCCCAGACUAGGGUGCAGAUGGUGGCCAUAGUAGAGGGCAGUGGAGUUAGGGAGGAAGAGUCAGCAAGCCUGGUGUGGGGAAGGAACCCAAGGAGGGGCCAAGUUACUAGUUUAGCCCCUAGUUUCUAUAUUUCCUUUUUUUUUUUUUUUUUUUUUUUUUAAAAAAAACUUAGUUUCCCUACUCUUAUAUAUCACAUCUAGAAUAGCUGCAUUCCCCAUCAUGUUAAUGUUCUUUUACCAGGAAUACAUUUGUUCUGCAUGCACUCACCAUCUUCAUAAUAAUGAAGUAACUCUGCAAAUCUUGGUAACUUGAAAGGGAACCUGGGACACAGGCUUAGAAUCAUGAGGCCUUUACCAUGUGUAUAAGCUUAUUUUGCAGACAAUUCUAGUUAUGCUUAUGCCUUAUGACUUAUCCUGUAGCUUUUUCCCAUUUUCAAAGAAAACAAAUAAUUUUUGUUGAGUCUGAGGAAGCAGCAAUUGCAUUGCCAAAGGCUGGCCCUGCCUAACUCAAUAUCCUUUGGCCAAUUGACUUGUACCAGCUUUUAAAAGCUAUGGGUUACAAAGGAUCUUCAAGGCCAUUUCAGCUAUAGAGUUUUAAUGCUUAUAUCUAUCUCUCAUGACUGAAAACCAAUGGUUUGGGGGAAAGAGAAAGAUGUUAAACAAUACCAUGGUGACAUAAUCAUCAAAAUCCAGAUUGUGGAAGACUAAUUUUACCUGACAACCUGAUCUCUUUAACAAACAAAUUACAAAUAAGAAGGGUGGGAAAGGAAGACAGAGAUAAAGCUGGUGAUAGAGAAUGUGAGAGCUAGCCUUCAAACUUAACAGAUUCAGAGACUCUGUCAAACAAAUUCAAUGUAUGAAUAUGGCUUGAUUCAAACAAACUGUGAAAAGAGAAAGAAAAGAAAUGGGGAUUUUUGAAAACUGACUAAUGGCAUUAUUAAAGGAUUAUUAUUUAUGUUUUAACAAGUGAUAAUGGGUAUUAUGAUUAUAUUUAAGGGGAGAAAAAUCCUCUUUUACAGAUGGAUAAAUGACCCCAGUGGAAAGCAGCCUUUCCCUCAGACUAUAGACAAUCCCUAUCCUGUAUUCAGGAGAGAGGACUUCCACCCUCACCUGAGAGUUAGAGGUCAAGGUAGAAACAGUAGACAAGUUCACUCAACAUUUAAUCUAGUUUCCCCACCCGCCUCUACACUAAGACUUGGAUGUCCCCAAAACAGUAAGGUAGACUGAUAUUCCCAUAGGAAAAUUUCACAUCUGCCCACAAACGUAUUUCUGAAAGUAAAAUCAAUGCUUGUAAAAUUUUGAGUCAAAUUUUAAGUGCACUAAAGUAAUCCAUGAUGGAACGUAUUAUAAUUAAUUGUUUUUGGAAAACUCACACAGUGAUUUUCAAUGGGGAAGGCCCAUCUCACUCAAGGGUUGAGGACUGGGGGAAAUGAAUAUUGGGAUAUCAGAAUAAUCUUUAGUUUUUAAAAGCCAUACAAAUUAACAUAGCUCCUUCUGCUCUCUCUACACCAACAAUAAACACAAAAGCAAAGGGUUAUAUUAGCUACUAUUAAUUACUGAGAAGAAUGACUUUUUAUCCCAUAAGUAUAUUGAGACCGGAAAAAUUUUGAGAAUCAUUGAUCAGGACUUUUCUUUAGGGUAUUUUCUCAAAGUGAACUGUACCUCAUUAUUUCAACACAGUCAGGAAUUGUUUUAGAAUAAAUCUGUUGGAGUGAAGUUCCUAAAAGAAAUACAAAUAUCUUCCUUUUCAGGAGACAAAUAAUAAACUAUAGAAAGGCUGCAGUCCUACGCUUUAUGUCACUUUUUAAUCUUAGUCUUGUCAGCCAACAGAACAUAGGAUUGUGUUUUUCUUUGGGAAGCCUAAAAAUAGGAAUUUAUGCCAAUUGUCCCUUUUUGUGUGUGUGGAUAGAGAUACGGAAUAGAGAUAGAGAAUCUUUUUUUUUUUUUUUUUUUGAGAUGGAGUUUUGCUUUUGUUGCCCAGGCUGGAGUGCAAUGGCACAAUCUCAGUUCACUGCAACCUCCACCUCCCAGGUUCAAGUGAUUCUCCUGCCUCAGCCUCUGGAGUAGCUGGGAUUACAAGCAUGGGCCACCAAACCUGGCUAAUUUUGUAUUUUUUUUUUAGUAGAGAUGGGGUUUCUCCAUGUUGGUCCAGCUGGUCUCGAACUCCCAAUCUCAGGUGAUCCACCCACCUUGGCCUCCCAAAGUACUGGGAUUACAGGCAUGAGCCACCAGGCCUCGUCAAGAUAAAUAAUCUUUUACCAAUGAGUCAAUCAGAUACAUUCAUUCAAGUAGGGUAGAUGUGUGACUUUUACAAUUAAACAUACAUAAGGACUAUAAUUAUAGCACUGUACAGUCGGGAAUGUUCAUUAUGUGCAGUAUAAAAGUAUGUAUUUGUGGUAGUUUCUUGGGAAAUUUUUUUGCUUUUAUAUUUUUUUUCUUCUAUUGCAAUCUUAGUAACCCUUGAACCACAGGCCAUUAACACAGGAUCAUGAGAGAUCAAAAUCUUACACCUUCCCCCAUUAAGUCUUCACAAUGUAUGUAGUUGAAGGGAAAAAUGGUGAGAUGUGCUAUCUUUAAUGACCUGUUGAUGCCUAAAAAAGCCUUUUCAAGUCUGUCUUGAUGACGCUGCACUUUUUGAAUGUGGAUUUGGAUUAUCUGUACACGUGAGAAGUUGUUAUCAGUAGCUCAGUGUCACAAGAAGGCCAGGGGGGUUAUCCUACAAGAACACAGUGAUUAUGAACAAAGCCCAUCCAAGCCAUAAAUACCUUCCAAGGGCAACCAAAGGUUAUAAAAGCUGAACUCCCAGACUAUUCUGAGGAAGGGACAGCAUGAAACGUGGGACAGAAUGCAUUUUUAAGUUGUACAAGGUCUGACUUAUUAUGGAGGCAAAAAUGGUAGAUUUUGCAGGUUCACAUUAACUUAAGAACCGUAUUCCAAAUUUUACAUUAAUCGUUAAUAAAAAGGUUUCUUGACACAAAUCUCAAAUUUCCUUGAAAAGUUCCUAAGUUAAAUUUCUGAAACUUAAGUUUGUUGCCCAGAGUGGUACAGUCUUGCCUAUAGGUAAAAAAAUUGAAAUGCAAAUCUUUAAAAAUUUUUCUUUCAACAUUGAGACAGUAUAAUCAUAAAAAAACUCUUAAUAAUGGCAAGGUAUUUAGAAUAAUAAAACACUAUUCCUCGCAUAUUUAUAUGCUUGGUCCUCAAAAAAAGAGAUAAGCAGACACCAAAUAGUAAGCUUCAUGAUAAUUAAUGCGUUAAUUAAAUAAAAAUCUCAGUGAUGAAAGAAAUGCAGAAUGGCUUACACAUUAACCCUAACUCCAAAAUGUUCACCAUACACUUACAGCUGAUUUUAGUCUCCUCCCAAUAAAUAUUGGAAUAAAUUAAAAACAAUAAACAAACAAACAAACAAGAAGCCACGAAGUUAGUGUGGCAAAUUGUGAUAAAAGAAACUGCUGUCUUUUAAAGCCUAAUAAUUUUGACUUUUGCCUUUUCUCAAAAACAGUUUUCAAUGGCAAAAAUAAAACAAAAUGGAUCCCUGGAGUCUGGAUGUUUGCUAAGGAAAUGGCCCUUCAGUCAAAAUUUGACCCAAAUCUCCCUUUUUCCAAUGCUGACAAAAAGCUCCUUCCAUGAAAGAUUAAAAUUCUAUCUUAAUGUUUAUAAGUGCUCUUCGGUUGUGAGAAGACUGAUAGGUGGAAUGGCAAAACAAAAUGUGCCAAAGUAAAAUUGGUUAAAUGUGCUUUAAUACAUGUGGUCUCUCUCCCCACUUCUCUCUUCCAAGCAAUGUUUGGGAUCAUUUUGAAUGCCAAAGGAAAUAUUCUUCUUAACAAAAAAUACAGUUGAAUUUGAAUGUUUCUUGAUUGAACAUCAAAAAUGGAAACAUUUACUUGGAUGGACUGAGGAUGCUUUACUCCAGAGAAAUUCAUGGCAGAUAAUUUUGCCUCUUGUACAUUGAAAAUAAUUAAAUUAUUUCAUUCAAAUCCUCUAAGUAGGUUUCAUUAUGAACAGUAUGUGGCUGGAAAUAGAAAUUGGUCAACAGUGAGUGUUUGUUGAGUACUCACAGGACUUGAAGAGUAUUUUAAGAGGCAAAUGACCAAAUUAGACUCUUAACUGAAACUACAAAAGAACCACACAUUUCCAAUAGACUAGAUAAACAAAAACAAAUGAAAAUUUGUAUUUUGUAAUGUGGUGUCAUAUGAGACCUAUAUUUUAUUAGAAUAGAUACAUCUUGGCUAGUGACACCAAGGCUUUGGAAUAGAGGUGGUUUCGAUGAGAAACAUCCCACAGGACCAGUUCUAUCCCUGACCUUUAUACCCCAGAAGCACAGUUAAUGUGGGACAAAUAUAGUAUACUUUUAAAAUUCCUGCCAGCAGCUCUGCUUCCCUCACAUCACUCUUUGUACUCCACUGAGGCAGGAAUGACUUACACCUGCAAAAAUGUGAGGAAUCCUUUCCUCAAAAAUAGCUCUUUGAACAUUAUUUGUGGGUACUAUUGUAAAAGAGAAUUUUCCAAGGCUUAGGAACCACUUACGGAAUUGUCUCUCUAGAGAGACCACAAAUAUGACACCGCAAACUAUUUUCCUUGGGAAAAUCCUGUCUUUCCACUAGGGAGGUCAAUUAUUGUUAUAGACAUGAACUUACCCUUGCAGAGCUCUAUGCCUCUCUAACACACACUGAGGACCUUGACUGCAAGCCUUCAUCAAAAUGGAGACGCACUGUCUGCCUUCAUGGAGCUUGCCCUUGGAGAGCUGGCCCUGAGCCACCAAAAGCAAAUCACAGGGCUGAGGGACAAAGCUGACACAUAGACCUGAAUGUGGUUUUGUCCAACUACAGUGGGCAGACAUUACUGAAUAAUACUUAACAUUUAAAUUUCCAAAAGGUUUGGAUAUUGUGUUUAUAUUUUUUUGAGGGUUAUUUUAUGUCCCUUGUGUGGAUUUCAACACAGAAAAGAUAAAUCUGAAAAAGCAAAACACACAGAGGAAACCAAGUGUUAGUGAAAAAUACCAGCCCUUGUUAUCUAAACUUGUCCAUGCAAUAUUCUAUCAGCGUUCUUUACAAUUCCAGAUUGUCCUUCGUCAGACCAAUAAUCUGUCCUGUCUUUGGCAGUUGCACCAGCCAAGCAAUGCUGCCCUCCUUGAUGUCAACUUCAAAAAACUUACGUAUCUUUAGCUUUCCCUUAAUGAUAUAGGUUUGCUUCUUUAAAGAGUAUUCAGUGGGUUACCCAUAGCUUACUCCAAAGAGUCUCCUGGGGGUUUUCUUUAAUGAACAAAAGGAAUGUCUUGUAAUCACUACAUAUAUUACUUACAUAUGUGAAAGAAGACAUCAAUAUCAAUGCAAGAAGUUGCUUGGCCUGUAGCUCUAUUCAAGAAUAAAAAUGAGCAAUAAUCUGUACCAUGAUAAACUGGUAUAUGAAGUAGAAGUAAAUUUUGUGUAGCCUCUGCUGGGAAUUCAAGACAUGAGAUAGAAGAAAACAUUAACCCUAACUCUCCAAUUAUAUAGGAAAUAAUGGAUAAUUCAAAUAACAGGACUCCAAAAUGCUCAGUACAAAUGUGCAACUGAUUUUAACCUCGUCCAAAUAAAGACGAAUGAAACAACCCCAAAAUUACUGAGAAUGGUUGGCUUACAAAGCCUUUCCAGCAAGCUUCACUUUGGCCUUUUUUGUUGAUGGUCAAAAGGCAAUGGAGGGCCGGGCGCGGUGGCUCACAUCUGUAAUCCCAGCACUUUGGGAGGCCGAGGUGGGGGUAGAUCACAAGGUCAGGAGUUCAAGACCAGCCUGGCCAAGAUGGUGAAACCUGUCUAUACUAAAAAUGUAAAAAUUAACUGGGCGUGGUGGUAGGCACCUGUAAUUCCAGCUACUUGGGCAGCUGGGGAAGAGAAUUGCUUGAACCUGGGAGGCGGAGGUUACAGUGAGCCGAGAACACGCCACUGCACUCUGGCCUGGGUGAGAGUGAGACUCUAUCAAAAAAAAAAAAAAAAAAAAAAAAAAAAAGGCAGCGGAAGUCAGUCCUCAAAGAUAAAAUCUGGUUUUGAGGUCCGAUUAGUGUUUUCAAAAGGGGAGGAUCCCCAAAAACAGAACUUGAGGGGCUCUCCUUGCAGAUACUCAAGUGCAGUUACCUCCAGAAAGCAAAUAUUUACUUUCUUUCUGAAUUAAAAAUAACUAACUUGGAAUUAGAGCUCAUAAUAAAAAGCAUUAUAAUGAAUGUAAAAUUCAAUACUAUGGUAAAAGACCUACACAGAACUUUCAGCAAUGACGCCGCCCCAUAAAUUGAGAUAUAGCCUGAGACUGAAGCAGCUUGUAAAAUCUACUUCAUACCAGUGAGAUUUGUUAUCAGCACUUCACUUUUAGCAUCCACAUUCCUGAGAGGGAACUUGGGUAUGUAAUCCAGAGGUCCUCCUGUUGCAGUUGUCUCCCCCCAGGCCCACCCUCACCACCAACCACCUCACAGGACAACCACAGGGGCGGCUGAGGAAUGUCUUGACUUGGAGAUACCUGAUCACUGACCCACAGACUAACAUCCUGGUUAACUUGAGUAUCUGUAUUACUCAUCUUAGAAAGUAAAAUUUAGGAUAGGGAGCAGCUAUCUAACUCAAAGCAGUGUAAAAGUGAUUAACUGUGCUUAAGUUAGACUGAUAAGCAAAUAAUCAUUUAGAAUAGUCCACUCAAAAGAAUUGACAUUAAAAUAUUUAUAUCUGCCUUAUUUUUGAAAAUUUUAAUUAUGGUAUAAAACACAUAAUAAAAUGUGCCAUCUUAACUAUUUUUAGAGGUACAGUUCAAUAGUGUUAAGCAUAUUCAAAUAGUUGUGUUACCUGCUUUACUUUUGUAAUUAACUUUAUUUUUAUUCACUACAACUAAAGAAAUAAACUCAUAUUUUAGUGCAACAAAAAGUUAUAACUGAUGAGUUUACCAUCUACAUUUUAAGGGAUUUCAACAAUUAUUUUAGUGUAGCCAAAGACUUAACAUUUGAAUUUUACAAUUUUUGAAAUAUGAAAUGCACAAUUACAAUACCUAGACUACAUAUCUUAUGACUUCAAAGCUUUAGCCAAAACAUGUAUCACACGGAUAAGAGCAAGAAUCCUCUCACACCUAAGACAAACAAAAGGUAUUACUAACGACAUCCCACUGUAUUUCCUUUUUGGUUUUGGCUAUUAUAUCUCUUUGCUAUGGGGGGUGGGGGGAGACGUUUUACUUCAAAAGUACAUAAUAAUAUAAAACUACUUAUUUUCACUGAUGUUUCAUUAUUCACAUUGCAAUUUAUUUAUUUAUUUAUUUAUUUAUUUAUUUAUUUAUUUAUUUUUUGAGACGGAGUCUUGCCCUGUUGCCCAGGCUGGAGUGCAAUGGCUUAACAGAAUGCAAUGGCCCAAUCUUGGCUCACUGCAACCUCCACCUCCCAGGUUCAAGCAAUUCUCCUGCCUCAGCCUCUCGAGUAGCUGGGAUUACAGGCUCAUGCCACCACGCCUGGCUAUUUUUUGGUAUCUUUAGUAGAGACUUGGUUUUACCAUGUUGGCCAGGCUGGUCUCGAACUCUUGACCUCAUGAUCCACCCGCCUCGGCCACCCAAAGUGGUGGGAUUACAGGUGUGAGCCACCGUGCCUGGCCCACGUUACCCUUUGUAAGAAGCACUUCAGAGUGCUUAUUUAGAGCAGGUGUUAACUACAGUAAGGAAUUCUUCUCAAGGAGGACCAUAGCUAUGAUUUAUGACAAGUGGUACAGUAAUCCCUGUAUAGUCUAGUGCCCAGCGUUUUUACAAGGUGUAAGUUUAAUAUAUAAAGAACGAUUACAAUUCAAUAACAAAAAGCCACCCCCAUUAAAAAAUGGGCAAAGGAUCUGAAUAGACAUUUCUCUAAAGAAGAUGUAUGAAUGACUAAUAGGCACAUAAAAAUAUACUUGACAUUAUUAGCCUUCAGAGAAGUGCAAAUCAAACCACAGUGAGACAGCAUUUAAUACCCACCCUGAUAAAAAGAUGAAUAAUAACUAAAAGACAGAUAAUAAGAAGUGUUGGUAAGAAAGUGGAGAAAUUAGAACACUCAUACACUGCUGCUGGGGAUGUAAAAUAGUGCAGCCACUUUGGAAAAUGGCAUGGUAAUUCUUCAAAAGGCUAAGAAGAGUUAUCAUAUGACCCAGCAAUUCUAUUCCUAAGUAAAUACACAAGAGAAAUGAAAAUGUAUGUCCAUGAAUGUUCAAAGCAGCCUUAUUUAUAAUAGCAAAAACCAAACCAAACCAAAAAAUAGGAAAAACCCAAAUAUCUAACUAAUGAAUGGAUAAUAUUCCAUUAUAUGGACAUGUCAUAUAUGGAAUAUGGACAUGUGAUAUGUUCAUUAUAUGAAUGGGUAGUAUUCCAUUAUAUGGACAUAUCACAUGUCCAUGUAUAUGCAAUAUGUAUGUAUCAUAUUAUUAUUCAGCUAUAAAAAGGAACGAAGUACUGAUAUAUACAACACCAUGGAUGAAUCUUGAAAACAUUGUGCUGAGUGAAAAAAGCCAGUCACAAAGGACCAUAUAUUGAAUGAUAUCACUUACAUGACAUGUUCAUAAUAGGUAGAUCUAUAGAGAAAGAAAGUAGACUAGAGUUUGCCUGGGGCUGAGGGCUUGGGGGAAUCGGGGGGUGAUGGCCAACGAAUGCAGGCUUUAUUUCUGGGGUGAUAAAAAUGUCCUAAAAUUGAUUGUGAUGAUGGAUGCACAACUCUGUAAAUAUACUAGAAGCCAUUAAAUUGUACACUUUAAAUGGGUAAAUUGCAUGUAUGUGAGUUAUAUCUCAAUAAACCUCUUAAAAAAUAAGGCAAACUUGAAAUAAGAUAAACCUAGGUCUAUCAAUACCAAGAAAUAAUUUUAGGGACAUCAUACAAAUAAAAUAAUCUCUUUUUCUAUUGUAAAAUAAGUUUCUACCUUCUAAGGAUCAAAUGGAGGUUAGUGGUGGGUGGCAAAGUUUGGCAGCAAGUAUGUUUUGAGUACUUGAAAGUCUGAUACACAUUGCUAGAAAUGCAUCCUUCACAUAAGGAAAACGUGCUUAUGUGGUGUACACAGCACUUUCAGACACUUGACCUCACUUGGUAGCUGUCAAGUUACAGUUCAGAUGUUUAUUUAGCGGGAAGUUAUAUGGUGACUUCAAGUCACGUUCCCACAGGACAUCUGCCUUCCAUAAGCUAAACCCAAAUGUUUGCUGCUAAAAUCAAAUAAUGAUGCCAAUGUACCCAGUUCGGAGAAAAAAGGUUUAUAGAUUAAAGUUAAUAGAUUGAAUUCUCUCAAUUUUAAGAUUUUUUCACUGUAAGCUUUUCUUCAUCCUUUCUUGUCCUCUACUUUUCUGAAUGCUAGCAGAAAAAGGGCUUGAAAUCUUUGAAGUAUUAUGCCUAAAUGAUAUUGGAACAUUUGAAAUUGUCAAUCAUGCUUAGAUUUAAUAGCUUUUACUGUUUAUGGAAAUAUGCUUAUAAUUUUACUUUUAUAUUGCAUAGGAGUUAUAUUUCACAUAGUAAGUGUGCUCCUACUUUAUAUUAUAGAAUUCAUAGAAUUCAAUAUGUAAACAUUUUUUAUUAUACCCAUAAGAAUGUUAUGAAUUUUCAGUAUCUUGAGAACUACUACACUGAUGUCUGGCUCUAAAACUAUCUUCCAGAUCCAUGCCAAAAGAAUGCUUUCAGAUAUGUCAUGAAGCACAGAGUACCAAGAUAAGACAACCAAAUUCUAUUCUAAAUUGAAAAAGAAAUGGCAAGAUUCCAGUAUAAAAGCUACUAAUGUUUCCACUUUUUUUUUCUUAAAUAUUUAGUGUGUAGUUUAGGUAUGCUGAUAAUAGGGAUUUUUUUGUGUGUGAAUCACUAUAUUACAAUUGUAGAACAUUUGUAAUAUACUUUCAGGGAGGUAGCUUUAAAAUAAUGAAACUUCAGCACUUAGCACAAACACUCUGGAGAACUAUACACUGAAAUUACAGCUCAACUAGAAAUAACCUAGUUAAGAAACCUUAAAGUGCAGAAACAAACUCGGGAAAAGUUAUAAACUUAAAAAGAAUUACCAAUAUUAGAGGCACUGUCAGACUACAAUACAUUUUAGAAUUGGAAGGACUUCUGAAAAAAGAAUAAACAAACAAAGCUAUGUGUGCCCAUACAUGCACAUUAUGCCAUGAUGAAAAAUUUUGUCCCCAAAUUUCACAGCAUAAACAUUUUAUUGCAUCAUCCUAUACUAAAGAUGUAUCAUGCUCUGUCUGCAGGAGGGUUUUGGUAAUUAAUAUAAAGCACUGGUACAGAAGCUUAUACCAGAAAUGGGAAGCAAGUCAAUUGGUUAAUGAUUUGUUCAAGUGAUCAGCUCUUGGUGUGUGUGUAUGUGUGUGUGUGUGUGUAUGUGUGUGUGUGUUGGGGCAUUAAAGAAACAUGAAAUAUGUUAAUAUAAUCUUAAAAUAGUACACCUGUCUUAUGUUUCCUUUGCUUUCAAAAAUGUAAUAAAAUAUCUGCUAUAAAAUGAUCAAGUGGUGGGUGUAGGUGGGGGUGGCAGUGUAGAUGAAGGAGGGGGACCAGGGGUAUUAUAGAUGAAACAAGAUUGUGGUUUUAUAUAUAGGGGUUCCCCUCUUUUUUCCCUUAACAGUACUGACAAGUCUUGGUAAUAUGGAGGUCAUUUUAACAGCCUGGAUCUAGGAAGCUUACGAUCAUCUUACUCUUCUUUUAGUAUCCUUCUAAAGGAUUAGCCAACAGCUCUUUUUGACUUAUUACUUAUCCUCAGAAUCACAAAACUCAGCUACUGGCCACUCUUAAUCCAAUGCCUUAUGAGAGGAAACUGGCUUGGUAAUUUAGGGGAAAUUUCUUCCCUUUGAAGAAAACCUGGAUGGAAACUCAAACAAUUGUUUUAAAAAAUAAACACAAAGAUGGCAAGCCUAUAUCCCCAUAUGAGGCAGUCCGGUUGAGAAGAGUGUUACACUGGUAGUAUAGAAGUUGAUGGGUUAGUGAAAGAAGUACAUCAUGGGGUAAUGCACCGGCUUCCAGCCUGAGGAUCUGAGAUUAUUGCAAGGAUCUUCACCAUGAAGAAGCAAAAAGAAGUCUAUCUUGCCUGGUAAAAUGAAUUUGCAGACACUUAAGACUUAGGACCCUAGAUUCUACCCAGACUCAAAAUUGGAAGAUCAUUCAGGUAAAUCCGUCCUUCAGCAGAGAAUAGCACUAUCCCAAAGUUUUCUUUCUGCUUAUCAUGAAAUGACCACCAAAUACCAAACAGAGGGAAAAAACAGAACUGUCCUCUGGAGGCAUACAAUUCAUGACAUGGCCACAGAAAUCCUUAUCUGGAUAUAGACCCUUCCCCCAGCCGCCCCCACCUCUUCCUCUCUCUCUCUGUCUAUUUCUGCUAGCAGAAACUCCAGCAUCUUUUUACUUGGCUUUAUGGUGCACAGAGUCUUUUUAUAACGGAAUGCGGGUUCCCAGUCAUUUCCAGGGUAAUCAGUUUAGAAGUCUAUUCAAAUUAGAGUGAAUGUAGUGGGGGUCUUCAUGUUUGUGAGUGUGUGUGCGUGCGUGCAUGCGCAGCGUACUUUCAUGUUUUCCCUUAUAUAUAGCAUUUUCUAUUUUACUUACACAAAUAGUAAGCAUUCAUGCACCACCCGAGUAAUAAAAAUGACUUUAAAUAAAACUGUAUGGAAUUUAUAGUGGAGAAUAUCUUCUGAAGGAGUAGGAGAAAACAGCAUCCUUUUGGGAGAAUAAUUUUGGGAGGUAAUUUAGCAACAUCUCUCUGGAUUUUACAUGCACAUGCUUGGUGCUCUAACAGCUCUGCUUUUAGUCAUCAAUCAUUCAGAAAUAGACUACAAAGAUACAUACAUGCUGAAGUUUACUGCAGAAUUAUUUGAAAGAGCAGAAUAUUAGAGAUACCCUAAUCAUUCAGUGAUAAGACAUAUCUGCAUAGGAGAAUACUAUCCAAAUAAAGCAUAUUACAGAACAAUACAUAUGAUUCCGUUUUCAUAAAAACAAUGGUAUAUUUGUGUGUAAGCUUUUAACAAAGCGUGUGAAAGAUUAAUAGUGCCGAUGUUUUAGCAGCGAUUGUGUGUCAGGCAGUAUGUUUAAUGUGUAUUAACUUGCAUAUUCACAACAAUCCAAUGAGGUAGAUACUACUAUUAUCCCCAUCGUGUAGAUAAAGAAACUGAGGCAGAGAGAGAUAAAGUAGCCCAUCGAAGGUCACUGAGCUGGGAAGUGGCCACGCUGGGCUUCCAACUCAGUCCUUCUAGCCUGAACACUUAUUCCCUACCACACACUGCUUCUCCAGCAACAGGUCUAGCACUGUUAACGGUUGUUACCUUUGCAGAGUAGCAUUUCACUUUUUACUUUAUGCUCAUCAAUAUUUGUAUGUGUCAUUUCUAAUAGAGAAUGCAUUGCUUUUGUGAUUAAAAAUAACUAGCCAGGCGCGGUGACUCAUGCCUAUAAUCCCAGCACUUUGGGAGGCCGAGACGGGUGGAUCACAAGGUCAGGAGUUCGAGACCAGCCUGGCCAAUAUGGUGAAACCCCGUCUCUACUAAAAAUACAAAAAUUAGCUGGGCGUGGUGGCGGGCCCCUGUAGUCCCAGCUACUCAGGAGGUUGAGGCAGGAGAAUCCCUUGAACACGGGAUGCAGAGGUUGCAGUGAGCUGAGGUCGCGUCACUGCACUCCAGCCUGGGCGACAGAGCGAGACUCCAUCUCAAAAACAAACAAACAAAAAACCAUUAAAAAUGGUACACUUCUCAGGCAGGAUGAACUUUGCUCCAGAUGCCACAAAAAUACAUCAAACAUGGUCCUAGUGGAACCCUCCAGUUUAGUUUGGAGCAUGACAGCAUGUGCUGGUAAUGUAUGAGUGACAGUGACAGGUACUCCAGGGAGGGAUCAAUAGGGCUAACUUUACGGAAAGAUUGAAAGCUAAGCUUUCAAUUUACUUUGAAGUAGGUAAAGAAUUCUGAUGGAGCUAGGGAAGAGGGAAGCAUACUAAGGAUGAAGUGCUGAGGGCAUUAGGACGUUGAGAGAGGGACAGGGUUUCUGCCAGGAGAGCAGCAGGCAAUAAAGCUGGUAGAGGGGCUUGCGAAGGCUGCUAAGGCUCUUAUUUGUCCUGCCAAGAAUGCAGACUCUGUCCUCUAGGCAAUGCAAAGAAUGUGCCAGAUAAAGACACAGUACCUUCAAGAAGCCUCUAUGAGGAAGAUAGACAUGUUAACAGUGCAUUCCAUUGUGAUGCAGUAACUGUGAUAAGGUGGAAACGUAUCUACACCUCUGCGACCCUGUAUUAGCAGGGGAAAGCCAGGGAAGGCUUCCUAGAAGAGGGGGUAUCUGAACUAAUAAAGGUAUCAACUAAAGUAGUAACAGUGGGGGACUGUGGCGCCAGAAAACAACAAUUCUAGAAAAACUGUAAAGUGGUAGUUUUCAACCAUGGGUGCACAAUAGAAUCAUCUAGAGAACUACAAAUAAAUGUCAACUCCCAAGCUCCAUUUCAGAUCAAUUAAUUAAAGAACUCUGGGGUGGGGGGCAGGGAUUGGAAGCUGGGCACUACCUCUAUGUAGUGCAAUUAAUCUGAUGGGACAGUGCAUCCUCUCAGAAUGUGAGCUCUAGAAAUUAGAAGAGCCUAAGACAGUGUCUCACUUCGGAAGUAUUCCCCACCUCCAACCCCAACCUGCCACCUCCAAUCCUUAGGCACAAACCUCCAAGUCAGAAUUAACCAGGUAACUCACUCUCUUGGAAACCAUGAUAUCAGCAGAAGAAACCUGCAGUUCCACAGCAUUCUGAAGGAGAUUUAUUAAGUUGAUAAUUUAAGGGUGGAAAAUCUUAUUUUUCCUAGAGAUAAAGGAAGCUUUAAAUUUUCCUUUCUUAUUUACCUUUUCUUUAAAUUUUUCAAAAAUUUCUUCCAAACGAGAACUGAUCAAAAUCUCUGGCUCACUUGAAGCUGCUGAAAUUAGCAAAUAAGAAUUUCUAACUCACACAGGCUCAAGCCUUCUGGAAAGCAGCAUCUCACAACAAAGCCGUAUGCCUUUUAUUACUGAUCUUUUAAUUGAAGAACAAUUCCAUUUUUGCCACAAAAAUCUUUCCACACUCAGUUCUGCAGGAUUUAGUUGACCACAAGCUUAACUCCUCUAAGCCAAUGGUUUGUCGUGGCUGGUAAAGCAGCGGACCCAACCUUGGCCUGCAUUAAUAGAGGAUUGGAUCUAGACCACUGUCCCUACCCAGUCACAUGACAUCUGGAGCACCAGGAUCAGCUCUGGGAGCACAGUGGAUGGUGGAGAGGCAAUCAAGAUGGUGGAAGUCCUGGAGAACAGGCACAGAAGAAGCACUGGGACACUUUGCUUAUGCUUAGGUGCCCAAGAGACUGCUAGGUGCUCCCCUGAGACCAUCUGAAAGACUGCCAUCCUAAUUGUGCCAAAUAACACAAUUAGGACCAAUAGGUGGACCUCACAGAAGACAGACUUCGUAGUUGAGACCACCUAAGAAUGGACCAUUUAGGGGAGCUCCAUGGCCACUUUCCAGGGGCUGGAGAGGGGAUUCCUGCUCUGGUAGCAAGGUUGCAUGAGCCCAGAGAUCCUCAGGUCUCCUGGCUCCCUUCCUGCAAGCUCCCUUCGAAAGGGAAGGUUUCUGUCGUUGAAAGCCUGUCAAGCACCUUUUCUCCUUUACUUCCCAUUUGUGAGGCCAUGUUCCUCAGGUUGACUUUUCUUGGGAAUUUCACAGGGCCCCACCUCUGGUUCUUUCUGCAUUUAAUGGUGAAAGACUCAGGUGAGAGGAAAACAAUUCAGGGCAAAAAAAAAAAAAAAAGAAAGAAGAAAGGAAGAAAAAGAAAGGAAGGAAGGGGAGAAAGAAAGAAAGGAAAGAGAGAGAGAAAAGGAAAGAGAGAGAAAGAAAGAAAGAAAAAGAAAGAAAGAAAGAAAGAAAGAAAGAAAGAAAGAAAGAAAAGAAAGAAAGAAAGAAAAAGAAAAGACCCCCUUCUUCUCUGCUAAUAGAGUUAUUUCCCAGCAAGGAAGCCCGAAUACUGGAGAGGCAGGGCAAGAGACGGGUGCAUCGUUCCUUCCCUAAGUUGUUCCUUCAUUGAGAUGAUACUACCCAUGUCACUGAUACCAUGAAUACUGCAAUCAUGAGUCCAUCUCCCAACCAGACGUUGAACGCCUUGAGGGCAGAAAUCUUGUCUUCUCCAUUUUGGUAUCCUCAGCUCCUAGAGAAGCACCUGGCAUAUAAAGAUCCUCAACAAAUGCUUACUGAAUGAAUCAUCUGUAAUGGAAAGGUAAAUUCUUUUUGGUAUAGCUAGACUUAAAUGGCUUUAUACCUCACCAAAACCUAAAUACACACACACACACACACACACACACACACACAAACAUUUAAUUACCCAGAUUUGCUUUCUACAUGAUGCAAAAAAAGUUUACCCCACAGAUAGGUUCUUCCCACUACAUUAUACAACCUCCCUUUCUAGACAGGCAUUCCUUAGCUUCCCUUCCCACAUGUUUGUGAUUAGCCCCUAGAGAGACAAUGAAGCAGGCCCAAUACGUUGGUUUCAGAAGAACUGGGCUGAAGCUUCAUAAUGAUUGCCUUGUUUCCAGGCCGCCAUGAAGUGUGUUUGAGUGUUAAGAUGGAGACUCAGUUCGCCUCAAGUUUUGGUCAGCCCGAAAAUCUCCGCUCACAACAUGGGUGCAGUGUGUGGAAUUUGCUGCCCCGUGGAAUCCAGGGUGUUACACAUUGGGGCUGAGUUUCUCAGAAAAGACACAGCAGUUGUAUAACCAAUGAAAAUAUUUACAAUUAUGCAGCUGUGAUAAGGUAAUCGAAUUCCAUGCCGCAGGGCAGAAACCUAUCCCUUCCAGUAAUGAGGUAGGAAUUCUCGCUGGCUCCCAUGUUGUUACCGGAUUAAUUUUAUGGUUUCUUCAAUUUACCUUAAUAGGAAAGUGGUUGCUUCAGGGAUCACAGACAAAUGAGACUUGUGAAAUCUGGAGCCUUAGUUCCGUGUCCCUGACUUGAAGCUCUGUCUUCUUGCUCUAGAAUUUUCAUUUAUACAAUGGGAACCGCCAGAAGACAGCUCUUGCUGCUACUCUUACCGCCAACAGCUACCAUUAAUUGAGCACACACUAUGUGCCAGGCAUAAAUCCUCACAACAACCUUGUGACACAGGUAUCUUAUCACUUACAUUUUAUAGAGAAUGAAAGGGAAGCCUAAAGAAAUUCCUCCCUGCGUUAGAUACUGUUUUUUUUUUUUUUCAAUACAACGUACGGGUAGGUGUUGAGGGGGGCAGGUGGUGAAAUCUACAGCUCCUUUUCUUGUCCAUAAAUGCUCAGAGUAUUCAAACAGGCCUCAGACAUACACCAGAGCCAUGGCAAUGCAUAGUUUAAGAUAUUAAAUUUCUCUUAAGUGAUUUCGACUCAUUUUGCAAGCCCUUGACAAACCCUUCAGAUGCGAAGAUUUAAGAAUUGUCUAGCCCUUUUGUGUUACACGAAAUGACAAAACUUUAGUUCACUCUUACUGUAACUGUCAUCUCUCUGAAGCCAAAGGACCGUACUUUGAGGUACAACAUUUAUUAUUUUUAAUUAAGAAAGCCCUUUGCUGGUGAUUCUAGCUCACUGCCUUCAACAGUCAUUGAGUCCCACAUUUGACUGAAGUUGUUGGUCUAUAGAUUUGAAAAGAAGCUGCCCAAAUAAUAUGUGACACAUCAUAGAGCUUGUCACAUGGAGAGGAGAGGACCAGAGAGGCAGGUGUUGUGUUUUGUUUUUCUGGUUUUUAAAUUUAUUUGUUUUAUUUUGGAUAAAAAAAAAAGUAUUGUUAGAGUUUUCUAAGGACAAAUGGGUUCCAAAGAGCUCUUGUCUUUAGAUAUGUUCAGGAAGAAGCUGGACAGUCAUUUGGAAGGGACACUGCAGGAAUGUCUGGACCACCAGAUCAGUGCUUUCCAAAGUGGGAUAGGUGUUCUGGUGGUGUGGAAAUCCUACCUUAAUUAAUAUUAAAUCACAGUGAGAAAGUCAUUCUUUUCAAUUCUCUUUUGAUUCUUUGGAUUACAGGAAAGGCAAAGUCUUAUUUUGGUACUAAUGUGUGUUUAACACCUUGUUAACAUUUGCUAAUCCCCUCUAUUUAUUUAUUUAUUUAUUUAUUUAUAUUUCUUUUUUUGAGACAGAGCCUCACUCCGUUACCCAGGCUGGACUACAGUGGCGCGAUCUUGGCUCACUGUAACCUCAGCCUCCUGGGUUCAAGUGAUUCUCCUGCCUCAGACUCCCGAGUAGCUGGGAUUACAGGCACACGCCACCACUCCUGGCUAAUUUUUGUAUUUUUAGUAGAGAUGGGGUUUCACCAUGUUGGCCAGGCUGGUCUCGAACAUGUGACCUCAAGUGAUCUGCCAGCUUUAGUCUCCCAAAGUGCUGGGAUUACAGGCAUGAGCCACGACGCCCAGCCAUUUAAAAAUACUACAAGAGCGGGGGAGUCGGGUCUCAGGCUCCCAGAGCCUUUGUUAGGCAAUUGCAUCAAUUUACAAUUUCAUAACAUUGUUACUUAUCUCCUUCACAUGACAAGUAAUAGGAGGUUUCCAUUUUGGGUAAUGAUUGUAGGCUGUGGAAGAAGAGUAUGUUGGUUUAAAGAAAAUAUUAAGUAAAUGAGACUGAGAUGGUACCUAUGAUGGAAAAUUCUGGGCUAGUUGACUUUAGGAUGGAGAUGCUGUGUCAUGAAAAUCAGAUUUGAAAUCAUGUUCUUAAAAAUCAGCUUGUCACUUUCUUGUUGGGAGUACAGAGAACGAGUCUUAUCUCCUUUUAGUUGGAACUGGAAUAUUAUGUGAAUUAAGGGAUGCAGGGAAGCUCUCUCCUCAGCACCCAACAUACAUCUUCUUGGGGACUGUAUCUUUGUGUUCAUGUAUCCCCAGUGUCUGACAUAGUAGAAGCGCAAUAAACAGCUGUUAAAGAAUGAAUGAAUGUUAAAUGAGAAAUUUCAUCUACUUGAUAAUCCUGCCUCGAGGGUGCCCUACCAUACGUCCCAGACACUGUUGCUUUUACUCGUGUUGACACUCCUCUCUCACCUCUUUUACUUACAUCAUGCCCAACACCACAGAGAUUGCAUGUCAAAAGUUGUGCUCCCCACUUCCAGAAAACUGGGGUGACACCAAAGAUUUCUUCUGAGGUAAGUGAUUGAGGGGGAAUGCACACUUAGAAUGAGAAAAGAAGAAAGCACUAGUUUCUGAAAAGAUUCAGAAGUGAGGAGGUAAUAGUUAUGUCUACCCUGCACAACCAGAUGUGACAUUUAAUUAUUAUCCAGUGAAUUUAAUCAGGCUAAGUCAGCCAAACCAACUCAUAUUUCUGGCAUGAAAUUUCUAGUUUGGCUGCCCAUCCUGACCAAAUCGAUAGAAACUGGCACCAAACCCCUAUUUUAUUGUGUGGUGUGUUGGCACAGACAUAGUCUUCUUGUCCAAAAAAUAGGUACUUGAGUACAAAUCUAGCCAUUAGGCUUCCUCCCAGCUUCUUUCUGGCAGCCUCUGGAAUGCUAAUACACACCAGGGAUGUUUGGAAAGAUUGGAGUUUCAAAUUCAGGGAAAAGGGAACAUGGCUUACAAGGGCUAUAGAGCCACAACUCAUAAACACGGAUGUUUCAAGUAAAAAAUAUAACUUAGAUGUCUCAGAAUUUAAAUGUGGCUUUAGUACAAUUAAACUUAUAGCAUGUUUUCUAGAAUCUUCCACAAUAAAAAGCUUAGUCCAAGAAACACAAUAAUAGUUUUAUGCAUUUCAGUUUCUGUCUACAGACCCUGGGACAACUGAACUUAGGAGAAACAAGUCUAUAAAGUAUUUCCCCACUGGGAAAUAUUUCCUAUGGGAGCAUGACCUCUGAGUUCUUACUCCAGUGUUCCUUCUGGUGCAGAAAAGACCAGAAUGGCUACUACACAAUGCAGUUAUACCCAGAAGAUGGAGAGAAGAGGCUUUCCAAUAGCAAUUUGUUUAGUCAGCAGUAAACAUGAUGUUCAGUAGUGAAUUCCACAUUAUCAGUUAAGCUUUGGCACAGGACUGCCAAUGAUUGGAUUCUGACAUUCAAACCUGAGUUCAAAUAUUGGUAGUCUGAGGGUUGGAAUGGGCCUGCCAUUGGAAUUACAUUGGAAUGGGUGUACUGCGUUUGCUUUGCACUGGUUUGUUUCGUGAAUUGUAUCAAAGAAUCUGCAGGUUCUUAAAAAAUUUGAGAUUUCUGGAUACUCUUGAAAAACAGGAAGAUCUGGCCCUUGUCUCAAUAGUCUCUUUGCCUGCCUUUUGCCAUAUUAUUCUGUAGUUGGGUCCCUCUCCGUUUAUCAUCAUACUUGUCCCUCUUAGUUCUCUUGUUGAAGAGAAAUAUUUCUCUGUAUCCAUGACUCUAUCAAAAUAGGAAAACAAAAAAUAGCCUGAAAGGGCAGCUUCAUGUACAUGCAUCACCCACGUGGCCACUGGAGGCAUUUGAGGUUGCCUUUCCACUCUAAAGCAAUGGAGCCUGCCUUUGUUUCUUCCCUAGGCAACACAUUCUCCAGUAACAUUUCCCAGUAUACACAGGGAUCCUCCAGGGGUCUGUGUAAUUUGUAGAAGUUCCUCCCU